rnacentral:lncRNA from 1 species
AUUAAGAGGCUCAAAGACAAGUUUAGGUUGAUUCAUGAACAGCUUAACCUGUAUCAAGUCAAGGCUAUUCCUGCAACUGCCAAGGAAUGAAAUUCGGCAGAUAUGUGAACUAAUGCUAUGAUCGGACUUUACUUUAGUACAUUGGGCACAAUUUUGCAGAAUUUACUUUCAAUUAAUUAUAUGUUGAUUUAGUUAGAAGCUUUGUCAGUAACUAGCAUAACGGGCAUGAAGCAGUUGGACACGUUGGAACUUGGAAUUUGGAAUUGCAAAUAUAAUUUAGCAGUGAGUGCAAAUAAAACCAGCAGAAACCCAUAAGAGAUGCAGUUAAACUAGUUACAGAGAUACGCUUUUGUGACAAAAGCAAGAAUACCUUAACUACUUAAGAACCGAAAAGACUAAAGAAAGAGAAAAAUGGGCCAGAGGCAAGUCAAGUGGAAAAGACAUUGAACUAACAACUAAUUAAGAAAUUAGAAAAAAAAAGGAUGGAGCAAGGUAUCAAUUGGCUAUUAAGCAAGGAAGCCUUUUUGAGCUGUCUGUUUUUGUAAAUCAACUCUCUUCAACACGUAUUCUUUCAAUAUUCACUCUCUUUAUGCACAUAAUGUUCAUAUAAAAACGUCACUUGCAAUGUCUUACUUCUUCAACUUAAACACAAACUUAAUUGUAGGUGCAAGUGAAAUUUUGAUGAUUUUUUUUUGGCAUGAAACUUCCAAAACUAUUUUUAGAAUCCACAAACUUUUGAACAUGGUUACUCAUUUGUUAGUGAAUUUUGAAAUAUUUCUCUUUCUUUUUUUAUGUCAAAUUAUAGAAUCGGGCUGGUUUACGCCAUUUCUUGGACUCCUUUGGAGGAACAGAGCAGUCUUCCACCGGAGGCAACUCUGCACCAGCUGGUCUCUCCCAAGAGUCAUCUCUGGGCUCAAUUGCCAACGAGAAGCAUGAGAGCAAACCAAAGGCAGAAGUCAAGCUCUCCCAUGUGGCCUCAGGCAUUGACUCAGGCUCUUCUAUUCAGGCAACAGAAACAAGACUUGCUGAUCUUCUAGACAACACUCUUUGGAAUCGGAGACUUGCUCCUUCAUCUGAAAGGAUUGUUUAUGCUCUGGUACAACAGAUAUUCCAUGGAAUUAGAGAGUAUUUCUUGGCCUCUGCUGAAUUGAAGGUUUAAGCAUUUCCCAUUAUUAAUUUAUUGAUAGAUGAAGAUAGAAUACCUGCUAAUUGAUAGGUAUGUGCAGUUUCCUUUAACCCUUAACGGUUUGCACUUGCCCUUUGCAGUUCAACUGUUUUCUUUUGAUGCCGGUUAUAGACAAGUUGCCUGCACUUCUCCGGCAGGACCUAGAAUCUGCUUUUGAGGAUGAUUUGGAUAAUGUUUUUGACAUUACCAAUCUACGACAUUCACUAGGUCAACAGAAACGUGAAAUAGAAAUUGAACUGAAAAGGGUAUAAUUUAUUUUUAAAAGAUUUGUUUUUUUCUUUCCUGCUUUCUAUACCGUACAGAGCAAUCAAUCUUGAUAAAUUUUAUUCCUUCUUGUUCUGGUUUGCAGAUUAAGAGGCUCAAAGACAAGUUUAGGUUGAUUCAUGAACAGCUUAACCUGUAUCAAGUCAAGGCUAUUCCUGCAACUGCCAAGGAAUGAAAUUCGGCAGAUAUGUGAACUAAUGCUAUGAUCGGACUUUACUUUAGUACAUUGGGCACAAUUUUGCAGAAUUUACUUUCAAUUAAUUAUAUGUUGAUUUAGUUAGAAGCUUUGUCAGUAACUAGCAUAACGGGCAUGAAGCAGUUGGACACGUUGGAACUUGGAAUUUGGAAUUGCAAAUAUAAUUUAGCAGUGAGUGCAAAUAAAACCAGCAGAAACCCAUAAGAGAUGCAGUUAAACUAGUUACAGAGAUACGCUUUUGUGACAAAAGCAAGAAUACCUUAACUACUUAAGAACCGAAAAGACUAAAGAAAGAGAAAAAUGGGCCAGAGGCAAGUCAAGUGGAAAAGACAUUGAACUAACAACUAAUUAAGAAAUUAGAAAAAAAAAGGAUGGAGCAAGGUAUCAAUUGGCUAUUAAGCAAGGAAGCCUUUUUGAGCUGUCUGUUUUUGUAAAUCAACUCUCUUCAAC